rnacentral:rRNA from 1 species
UACGUAGGGAGCGAGCGUUGUCCGGAUUCAUUGGGCGUAAAGAGCUCGUAGGCGGCUUGGUAAGUCUGAUGUGAAAUCUAUGGGCUCAACUCAUAGUCUGCAUCGGAAACUGCCGGGCUUGAGUGUGGGAGAGGUGAGUGGAAUUCCUGGUGUAGCGGUGAAAUGCGUAGAUAUCAGGAGGAACACCUGUGGCGAAAGCGGCUCACUGGACCAUAACUGACGCUGAUGCACGAAAGCUAGGGGAGCAAACAGG